rnacentral:rRNA from 1 species
UUAAGCGACUAAGCGUACACGGUGGAUGCCCUGGCAGUCAGAGGCGAUGAAGGACGUGCUAAUCUGCGAUAAGCGUCGGUAAGGUGAUAUGAACCGUUAUAACCGGCGAUUUCCGAAUGGGGAAACCCAGUGUGUUUCGACACACUAUCAUUAACUGAAUCCAUAGGUUAAUGAGGCGAACCGGGGGAACUGAAACAUCUAAGUACCCCGAGGAAAAGAAAUCAACCGAGAUUCCCCCAGUAGCGGCGAGCGAACGGGGAGGAGCCCAGAGCCUGAAUCAGUGUGUGUGUUAGUGGAAGCGUCUGGAAAGGCGCGCGAUACAGGGUGACAGCCCCGUACACAAAAAUGCACAUGCUGUGAGCUCGAUGAGUAGGGCGGGACACGUGGUAUCCUGUCUGAAUAUGGGGGGACCAUCCUCCAAGGCUAAAUACUCCUGACUGACCGAUAGUGAACCAGUACCGUGAGGGAAAGGCGAAAAGAACCCCGGCGAGGGGAGUGAAAAAGAACCUGAAACCGUGUACGUACAAGCAGUGGGAGCCUCUUUUAUGGGGUGACUGCGUACCUUUUGUAUAAUGGGUCAGCGACUUAUAUUCUGUAGCAAGGUUAACCGAAUAGGGGAGCCGAAGGGAAACCGAGUCUUAACUGGGCGUUAAGUUGCAGGGUAUAGACCCGAAACCCGGUGAUCUAGCCAUGGGCAGGUUGAAGGUUGGGUAACACUAACUGGAGGACCGAACCGACUAAUGUUGAAAAAUUAGCGGAUGACUUGUGGCUGGGGGUGAAAGGCCAAUCAAACCGGGAGAUAGCUGGUUCUCCCCGAAAGCUAUUUAGGUAGCGCCUCGUGAAUUCAUCUCCGGGGGUAGAGCACUGUUUCGGCAAGGGGGUCAUCCCGACUUACCAACCCGAUGCAAACUGCGAAUACCGGAGAAUGUUAUCACGGGAGACACACGGCGGGUGCUAACGUCCGUCGUGAAGAGGGAAACAACCCAGACCGCCAGCUAAGGUCCCAAAGUCAUGGUUAAGUGGGAAACGAUGUGGGAAGGCCCAGACAGCCAGGAUGUUGGCUUAGAAGCAGCCAUCAUUUAAAGAAAGCGUAAUAGCUCACUGGUCGAGUCGGCCUGCGCGGAAGAUGUAACGGGGCUAAACCAUGCACCGAAGCUGCGGCAGCGACGCUUAUGCGUUGUUGGGUAGGGGAGCGUUCUGUAAGCCUGCGAAGGUGUGCUGUGAGGCAUGCUGGAGGUAUCAGAAGUGCGAAUGCUGACAUAAGUAACGAUAAAGCGGGUGAAAAGCCCGCUCGCCGGAAGACCAAGGGUUCCUGUCCAACGUUAAUCGGGGCAGGGUGAGUCGACCCCUAAGGCGAGGCCGAAAGGCGUAGUCGAUGGGAAACAGGUUAAUAUUCCUGUACUUGGUGUUACUGCGAAGGGGGGACGGAGAAGGCUAUGUUGGCCGGGCGACGGUUGUCCCGGUUUAAGCGUGUAGGCUGGUUUUCCAGGCAAAUCCGGAAAAUCAAGGCUGAGGCGUGAUGACGAGGCACUACGGUGCUGAAGCAACAAAUGCCCUGCUUCCAGGAAAAGCCUCUAAGCAUCAGGUAACAUCAAAUCGUACCCCAAACCGACACAGGUGGUCAGGUAGAGAAUACCAAGGCGCUUGAGAGAACUCGGGUGAAGGAACUAGGCAAAAUGGUGCCGUAACUUCGGGAGAAGGCACGCUGAUAUGUAGGUGAAGCGACUUGCUCGUGGAGCUGAAAUCAGUCGAAGAUACCAGCUGGCUGCAACUGUUUAUUAAAAACACAGCACUGUGCAAACACGAAAGUGGACGUAUACGGUGUGACGCCUGCCCGGUGCCGGAAGGUUAAUUGAUGGGGUCAGCGCAAGCGAAGCUCUUGAUCGAAGCCCCGGUAAACGGCGGCCGUAACUAUAACGGUCCUAAGGUAGCGAAAUUCCUUGUCGGGUAAGUUCCGACCUGCACGAAUGGCGUAAUGAUGGCCAGGCUGUCUCCACCCGAGACUCAGUGAAAUUGAACUCGCUGUGAAGAUGCAGUGUACCCGCGGCAAGACGGAAAGACCCCGUGAACCUUUACUAUAGCUUGACACUGAACAUUGAGCCUUGAUGUGUAGGAUAGGUGGGAGGCUUAGAAGUGUGGACGCCAGUCUGCAUGGAGCCGACCUUGAAAUACCACCCUUUAAUGUUUGAUGUUCUAACGUUGACCCGUGAUCCGGGUUGCGGACAGUGUCUGGUGGGUAGUUUGACUGGGGCGGUCUCCUCCUAAAGAGUAACGGAGGAGCACGAAGGUUGGCUAAUCCUGGUCGGACAUCAGGAGGUUAGUGCAAUGGCAUAAGCCAGCUUGACUGCGAGCGUGACGGCGCGAGCAGGUGCGAAAGCAGGUCAUAGUGAUCCGGUGGUUCUGAAUGGAAGGGCCAUCGCUCAACGGAUAAAAGGUACUCCGGGGAUAACAGGCUGAUACCGCCCAAGAGUUCAUAUCGACGGCGGUGUUUGGCACCUCGAUGUCGGCUCAUCACAUCCUGGGGCUGAAGUAGGUCCCAAGGGUAUGGCUGUUCGCCAUUUAAAGUGGUACGCGAGCUGGGUUUAGAACGUCGUGAGACAGUUCGGUCCCUAUCUGCCGUGGGCGCUGGAGAACUGAGGGGGGCUGCUCCUAGUACGAGAGGACCGGAGUGGACGCAUCACUGGUGUUCGGGUUGUCAUGCCAAUGGCACUGCCCGGUAGCUAAAUGCGGAAGAGAUAAGUGCUGAAAGCAUCUAAGCACGAAACUUGCCCCGAGAUGAGUUCUCCCUGACCCUUUAAGGGUCCUGAAGGAACGUUGAAGACGACGACGUUGAUAGGCCGGGUGUGUAAGCGCAGCGAUGCGUUGAGCUAACCGGUACUAAUGAACCGUGAGGCUUAACCUU